AUGAUUUAAUUAAAAGAUUCCAUUAAAAUACCAGCUCUUCCACUUGCUAUCACAUUGAACUUUGCCGUCCUUGCCAUAAAAUAAUUCCAACCUAUCAAUUUCAUCAGCAUCACGACCCUUUGUUUCAGGAAGCAAAAGUGUGAAAAGAAUGCCACCCCACAUGCAUCCGCAGAAAAUCCACAUAACGUUACCAUAUCCAAUAACACCGGUCAAAAAGUUAAAAAGAAGUGAUGCAAGAAUAGCGCCACAUUUACCCAAAGCAGCUGAAACACCAUGAGCAGUACCACGUACGCGUGCAGGGAAAACCUCAGCGGGAUAAAUAAAAGUGGUGGAGUUGGGACCAAAGUUAGAAAACAGUUGGGCAAUAACAAAACAAGCAAAUCGACCACCAGUGGAAAUUUCGUUCCAACGUCCUGCCAAAAUUGCAAACAUCAAACCAGUAAUCACGAAGCCUUGUAGUUGAAUCCAUUUACGUCCAAGAAUUUCAACAAGGAAGACGUUGAACCAGUAUCCAGGAACAUAGCCGGCAACAGCGAUAAUCAAGUUGCCAAUUGCGUUUUUCAUCAAUGUGCGGUAUUCGUUCGUACCAGUACUGAAGCCAAUAUUCUUGAGAAUGACAGAUUGAUUAAGAUUGACACCGUAAAAGGCAAUAUCCAACAGAAACCAACAAACAGAUGUACCCAAAAGAUGCUUAAAAUGACGCCAUUGUCUGAAGUAAGUGAUAAAUCCACUGCUGUUUUCAGGGGUUGUAACUGCGGCAAAUUGUUUUUCAAUGUUAUCAACUUCAGCGUCAGCAGCAUCUGCUUGAUUAGCAUAACGAUCAGAAGCUUCGACAACCUCGGAGUCACCAUGGCUAGAUGACUUCUUCAUAUUGUCCUCAUCAUCGGUAUUGAAGAAUGCCUUUGGAUCUUUUCCUUCAGCACUAUUAAGUGCUUUAGAAUUCUCGUAUGAUUUAGAUUCUUUCAUGAUGAGACGGGGAAUAAGAACACCAAUAGCAGGAACCAAAGCAAGACCAAAUUGAAGACGCCAGACACCUUCGAGUUUAUGAUAAUGACCUUCCCGAUUCAAUGGAUGUUCGAAACAACCCAAAAGGAUGAUGGUAACAAUGGCACCAGCAAGAGUUCCGAAACCUUGGAAGGCAAAAAUUAAAGAAAUAAGUGUACCACGUCGUUUAAUUUUACUACGCUCAGAAGUGAUAGCGGCAGACAUUGGAUAAUCACCACCAAUACCUACACCGAGCAACCAACGCCAACAGAAAACCCACAUCAUUUUCGAAAGAGGAGAAUGAAUGCUUUUAGGCAUAGCGAUAACCAGAACAGUAGCGAUGAUAACAAUAACCAUUUCUUUACCGUAGACAAAUUUACGGCCAAAGAAAUCACCCAUAAAACCAAAUAACAGUUGUCCAAAAAUGUUACCAAUAUUGGCUGACGCAUUUACAAGACCACGAAUACCAGAGGGAUAAUGGCCUUUUCCUGUGGGACCUUUUUCAAUACCACCCCAAUAAAGAUAUUCAAAAAUGGGAGUAACUAAAUUGAUGAUAAAAAGAUCGUAACUGUCAAGGAAAAACCCGACACCUGCAAGCAUCAUAAGUUUAAAUUCGCGCUUUGUCAACCCCAAGUAAUAGCGACGCUCUUGCGCACCCUCUUCGACUUGGUCGAGAGGUACUGCAUCGUCGUUAUACUCAUCAGACUUAGAUCCAAUGUUUAAAAUUUUGCUCCCAAAUGCCAUCUUGUGAUUUCCUUGCGUUCAAAAUAUGAGAGAAAAGGAAAGCAAUGAAUGAUAAAGUAAGUCUUAAUCGCUGCUUUAUGCAAAUUAAUGAAGUCCGAAUGCGGUUGCAAUUAGAAUUAAGAAAACUGAGUACCGGUGGUUUACACACACAGAUAAUUCAGUAUGCAAUGGAGCAAUAUAUAUAGUAAACUACCAGUUUGUCAGAUUGGUGGCUUUGUUAUAGAAAAAAAAUUAAUAAUUAAGAUCAAAAGCUUUGGUGUUGACGUUCCCUGGCAACCGGCACAUUCACCACCUGCUUAAUCUUAUUUCAAAACAAAAUAGCAAAACAGGAAGAAAU